GGAGAUGUUGCUGAGCG
rnacentral:tRNA from 1 species